rnacentral:rRNA from 1 species
GAUGAACGCUGGCGGCGUGCCUAAUACAUGCAAGUCGAGCGAACAGACGAGGAGCUUGCUCCUCUGAUGUUAGCGGCGGACGGGUGAGUAACACGUGGAUAACCUACCUAUAAGACUGGGAUAACUUCGGGAAACCGGAGCUAAUACCGGAUAACAUGUUGAACCGCAUGGUUCAACAGUGAAAGACGGUCUUGCUGUCACUUAUAGAUGGAUCCGCGCCGCAUUAGCUAGUUGGUAAGGUAACGGCUUACCAAGGCAACGAUGCGUAGCCGACCUGAGAGGGUGAUCGGCCACACUGGAACUGAGACACGGUCCAGACUCCUACGGGAGGCAGCAGUAGGGAAUCUUCCGCAAUGGGCGAAAGCCUGACGGAGCAACGCCGCGUGAGUGAAGAAGGUCUUCGGAUCGUAAAACUCUGUUAUUAGGGAAGAACAAAUGUGUAAGUAACUACGCACGUCUUGACGGUACCUAAUCAGAAAGCCACGGCUAACUACGUG